rnacentral:lncRNA from 1 species
UGACUGAAGAACAUUGGUUUGCUGAUGAAGCAUUUCUUGAUCAUCAACUGGACUCAAAGUUUGAAGAGUCUGUGUCACCUGAGGCUUAACUCCAGCCACAUCCACACGGAUGGAAGGAGACAAUGAAAGAGUUCGUGUGUCAUCUACCACCUUCAACUAUAGACCAAUGUAAGAGAAGUUUAACCAGGAAAAGUUUAACAGUUCUUCAGGCCGGAUACUAGCUUAAGCCAAGCUCCAUCACUCAAUUCAGAUGAAUUUUCAUAAGAAGCAUUAGCUAAGGCUAGACCAGCUUAGGGAGGAUAAGGACCUGCAAAGAUG